CAGCAGCCGCGGUAAUUCGUAGGGCGCAAGCGUUGUCCGGAAUUAUUGGGCGUAAAGAGCUCGUAGGCGGCUUGUCACGUCGAUUGUGAAAGCCCGAGGCUUAACCUCGGGUCUGCAGUCGAUACGGGCUAGCUAGAGUGUGGUAGGGGAGAUCGGAAUUCCUGGUGUAGCGGUGAAAUGCGCAGAUAUCAGGAGGAACACCGGUGGCGAAGGCGGAUCUCUGGGCCAUUACUGACGCUGAGGAGCGAAAGCGUGGGGAGCGAACAGGAUUAGAUACCCUGGUAGUCCACGCCGUAAACGGUGGGAACUAGGUGUUGGCGACAUUCCACGUCGUCGGUGCCGCAGCUAACGCAUUAAGUUCCCCGCCUGGGGAGUACGGCCGCAAGGCUAAAACUCAAAUGAAUUG
rnacentral:rRNA from 1 species